UGGUCGGGAUCUUUUUAGCGGCUGUUGCAGUGACGUUAAGCGGAGAAAGGGUGGCUGUCAGUCGGGCACAAAGCUCUGCAAGGUCACGUGAAUUUAGUGACUGUGGUAGCA